GCCUUUGUGGUGUAACGGUCAGCACACUCGGCGCGAGUCGAGAGGUCCGUGGUACGAAUCCCGGUGAGGGCA
rnacentral:tRNA from 1 species